rnacentral:rRNA from 1 species
GGGACGAACGCUGGCGGCGUGCUUAACACAUGCAAGUCGAACGGUAUGGCCCCUUCGGGGGUACACGAGUGGCGAACGGGUGAGUAACACGUGGGUAAUCUGCCCUGCACUUCGGGAUAAGCCUGGGAAACUGGGUCUAAUACCGGAUAUGAACUCCUGCCGCAUGGUGGGGGUUGGAAAGUUUUUCGGUGCAGGAUGAGCCCGCGGCCUAUCAGCUUGUUGGUGGGGUAAUGGCCUACCAAGGCGACGACGGGUAGCCGGCCUGAGAGGGUGAUCGGCCACACUGGGACUGAGACACGGCCCAGACUCCUACGGGAGCAGCAGUGGGAAUAUUGCACAAUGGGCGAAAGCCUGAUGCAGCGACGCCGCGGUGGGGGAUGGACGGUCUUCGGAUUCGUAAACCCCUUUGAGGUAGGGCGAAGCGACAAGUGACGGUACCUGCAGAAGAAGCACCGGACUAACUACGUGCCAGCAGCCGAC